UCUGCUUUUUCUGCACUGUGGGCUUCAAU
rnacentral:piRNA from 1 species